UCACUCCGGCUCAGAAUGGCGGAUUCCGGUGAUUGACACCUGGAACCGUCAGGACCAAUAGAAUCAAACCUAGGUUAUCAUUUUGCGGUCAGAGAAGCCAUCAGCGAAUCAAAGGAUGUACCACCCACGUGAUGACGAUCGACAGCGUCUUACGUACUCGGCUGCGCAUGCGUCACUCAAAUCCAACUUGGAGUCUGAAGAAGCGGCAAAAGAAGUGGGAGACAUAUUGGACUUAAUUGAAGAACGAGAGCGACGGAUACAGGCACAUUACAAUGGUUUAUGCAAAGGCUGUUUGGCUUGAGGGUCACAAACAGUUUGAGGGUGUCACCCCAAAAAACUGGAUAUAGGAGGAAGGAAAUGUUGUGCGAUGGCCAAAGAAAAGUGUGCAUUCAGCCCAUAAAAAAAGGACCCAGACGAUGACUGGAACACGUUCCCACUUGUGAAAAUAAAGACAAUAUCAGACAAUGAGAAAGAUUGUGAAGACUAUAACUACACUUCAUCAGCCCAAACUGACCAUGAGGGUUCCACCAUCGUGCCAGAAGAAAUCAGGAAGAGACAUGUAAAGAAGAGGACAUAUGAUUUUGUUGAUGAUAAGGAUACAGGUUUGCAUGCAUAUCCAAAGCCUCCUGAAAUCCAGAAGAACGAAUUUGCUUCUGCUACCAUCGAUCAAACCACUCCUAAGGAAUCCACCAUGGAUAAUGACGUGUGUACUUGGACUAGACGGCUGCCAAAUUCAUCCAGAGGAUGCUGAAAGUGAACAUGACAGCAGACAUGUUACAGCAUUUUCCUGUCUUCCUGUUCCACACAUGCCAUCUUGGUGUUACAGGGUUGUCAAGGUCAAGGGAGCGUUCCAACUGAUCCCCCCGAUCACCAAUCAAGUCAUGGAAGUGAUGGAGGAUAUUCCACUUCUAGUUCUCAGUCAUCAGUGGGCUCAACUCCCAGACGCUCUUCUUCCAGAUAUGGGCAGUCCUGCUCUAGAAGGGAGCGUCCCAACUCUUCCAGUCACCGAUCAAGCCAUCAAAGUCCUACACCUUCCACUCUAGGACACUCAACAUCCAGACAUGGCUGAUGACAAACUCCCUGAUGUCUUUAUUCAAUAUGUAGGGCCACGGUUCCAAAAGGGCAUUCCAACCGACAGAACUUUACGCCAUUGUGACAGCUGCUGUCAAAAGGUGGGACAGCAAAGCCACAGACCAUGAAAUUUCACGUACUAUGGCAGACCAUUUCAAACAUGGUCCUGGGCGGUCUGGUGGUGGAGGCUAUCUUAAAAAAUAAAACAGAGCAGCAUUGACGAGGAAACAUCAGGGAGGAACUUCGGUUGUUUGAGUUCAUCGGUCCACACUAGUUUUGGCCCUGAUCAGUUGUGAUAUGAGAUGGAAAGAUUUCACUUCAUGUACAGUAUUAUCUACAGUCAUGACUGUAUUGAAGUCUAUUUUUUUGU